AAAGGGGGAGGAGCGGGGGGAGAAGGCGGAGCCCACGCGACCACGUGACCCAGGGCCGGGCCGGGGCUGCGCGCGCUGGGCGGCCGGCCGGCCUGAGCGCGCGCGCGUGCGUCCGCCGGCGCGCGCACCCGAGCUCCGGGACUCCCCGCGCGGCCCAGGCGGAGCAGGAAACACAACCACUGCAUUUGUGCUGAAGGAGAUGUAAAGCAAAAUCGGAGCAGUGUGUCUUCACAAGCGGGUCUCGAAGCUAGCCUGGCGGCAGGAGCCAGGCUGAGAUGAUCGUGUGAAGGGAGUGCUUGAAAAACACUCCUGGCUCCUUGCUGUUUCUGAAUGGCUGCAACCCUGAUCUCCCCUGCUUCCUACAAGUGCGGAGUUGAAUUCUUACUGUGUGCAAUUACUCUGUACUGGACAUUUCACUUUGUCUUGGCAGUCCCCUCUGGCUGCAUCCCUGCUUCUCCCUGGUGGUGGAGGCCAUAACAUCCACCAUUGAUUGUGGGUUCCAGCUGGCUCUAGAAGUGACCAUUCCGGGAGUUCAAUUGUGGCUCCCCAAAAGAUCUGUCAUAUUCGGGAAUGUGACCUUGUUUGUAAAGAGUCUUUGUAGAUACAAUUAAGUGAAGGUUCUCCAGAGGCAAUCAUCCUGGGUGUCUCAAGUCCAAUAAGUCUCAAGUCCCUGGGUGGGCCUCACGUCCAACAAGUGAUCCUAAUAAGAGACAUCUAGGGAGAAGGAGGAGGUGCUGUGAAGCCAGAGGCCAAAAAUGGGACCACAGAGUGAGGAAUGUCCAGAUCUACUGGAAGCUGGAAGAGGCAAGGAAGGAUUCUCCCCAUGAGUCUUUGAGGGGGAGCAUUGCCCUACUGAUACCUUGAUUUCAGACCUCUGGCUUCCCGAAGAGGGGAGAACACAUCUUGCUCAUUUCAACCCACUUGGUUUGUGGUAUCGGUUACGGUAGCCUGAAGACACUCCCAGAGAUGCUUUCUCCAUACCCUGUUUGUGUGUGUGAGACUGUGUCUGUGAGAGACAACCAUCCAAUUCAACACGCUUCCUUUGGACUCACCAAAUUUUGCUUUUUAUUAUUAUUAAGUCCAGAAAGCUUUGGGGUGUCCACAAGACAAAGCACCUCUUUUCUUCUCUCCCUUCCAGCCUUUUCUCUACCCAGACUGAACAGCACCCACCAAGGACCACCUCAGAGUGGCCACAUCCUGGCAUCUUCCAAUCAUUUCACAGGUUUUAAUUGUUCCAUAUCAUGAUUCCUUUAAAACAAACAGAAUUUAUGCCUGGUUGUUGCACACAGUUGCAACAGUUUCGGAGUAUAGUUUUGCCUUCUCCUGCUGGUUUCCUCCACCCACCUUCCCACACCCACCUACGGUGGCCACGAAUAAUCAAGGGCAGUACAGUGAUGAUCCUCUAGCCCUUCUUCCCAGGCAGAUAUUCUGCAAGCGGUAACUGACUGACAGGAAACAGAAGCUCUGGGGAUGCCAGGCUGGCUCAGUUGGUAGAAUGUGCGACCCUUGGUCUCGGGGUUGGGAGUUUGAGCCCCAUGUUGGGUGUGGAGAUGACUUAAAAAUAAAAUCUUAAAAAGAAAGAAAGAAAAGAAACAGAAUACACUUUCUGAAGCAGGCAGGGGUGGGUGCUUAGAGCCCACUGAUCACUUCUCUGAGGAUCUGUCUGAAGAAUGUUCAGGACACAAGGAGCAAAGGUCAUUUGGAAAGUUCUGAACUAAGGUAAGGCAGAAUUAAGGAGAUGCUCACUCUCGGGGUUAUGCAUACCUUGAAUCUUCAGGUUGAGUGGAGAAGACCCCAUCAAUGGCAGAGGAGGAGGUCCCAGAUCUAUUUGUGGCUUCUGGGUGUUUCAGAAGGAGGAAGAAGCUGCAACACUUAUUUCCGGCUACAUACAUCAGUCCCACUGUGCUUGAAAGCCUCCAAUGUCUUCCCAUUUCAUCUACAGUGAAAGCCAAAGCUCUUGGUGGCCCCACACAGUCUGCUCUCCAUGCUGUCCCUGACAUGAUUCCUCUCUGAUCCCAGCUCCCGGUCACUGGCCCUAGCACUUACAUGACUCCAGUCACAUUGCCCUCCUGCCUUUUCCUUCAACACACCAAGUGUGCUCUACCUCAGGGCCUUUGCACUUGUUGCUCUCUCUGUGUGUGCAAUGCUUUUUUCAGGGAUCCAGAAGACUUGCUCCCUUAUUUCCUCCAGACGUCUGCUCAGGUGCCACCAGAUCAGAAAGGCCUUCCCUCACUAUUUUAUGGGAACAGUUCUGGCCAACCCCAUCACGCAUUGUACCCCUGACACCGCUUUCACUUCCUGUGUAGCACUGAUUGCCAGCUGACUUCGUAGCUUCAGACAGCCAGACUGCUGCAAGUUUUGUGAGAAAUGGUACAAAAACAAACCAGAUGCUUUCUCCCACUGAUUUCAUUGAGUACUGGCUGCUGAGUGCAGGAUCUGCUCUGUUGAUUUUGGUUCCCAUACG